rnacentral:rRNA from 1 species
AUUGUACGCUGGCGGCAUGCCUUACACAUGCAAGUCGAACGGUAACGGGCCUUCGGGUGCCGACGAGUGGCGAACGGGUGAGUAAUGUAUCGGAACGUACCUUUCAGUGGGGGAUAACGUAGCGAAAGUUACGCUAAUACCGCAUAUUCUGUGAGCAGGAAAGCAGGGGAUCGCAAGACCUUGCGCUGAUUGAGCGGCCGAUAUCAGAUUAGCUAGUUGGUGAGGUAAAGGCUCACCAAGGCGACGAUCUGUAGCGGGUCUGAGAGGAUGAGCCGCCACACUGGAACUGAGACACGGUCCAGACUCCUACGGGAGUCAGCAGUGGGGAAUUUUGGACAAUGGGGGCAACCCUGAUCCAGCCAUGCCGCGUGAGUGAAGAAGGCCUUCGGGUUGUAAAGCUCUUUCGGCCGGGAAGAAAUCGUAUCAGCUAAUACCUGGUGCGGAUGACGGUACCGGCAUAAGAAGCACCGGCUAACUACGUGCCAGCCGCCGCCGUAAAAC